rnacentral:rRNA from 1 species
CCCUUAGAUGUUCUGGGCUGCACGCGCGCUACACUGAUGCACUCACCGAGUUUACGACCUUGCCCGAUAGGGUUGGGUAAUCUUUUUAAAAUGCAUCGUGAUGGGGAUAGAUUAUUGCAAUUAUUAAUCUUCAACGAGGAAUUCCUAGUAAGCGCGAGUCAUCAGCUCGUGCUGAUUACGUCCCUGCCCUUUGUACACACCGCCCGUCGCUCCUACCGAUUGAGUGCUCAGGUGAAUAAUUCGGACUGCAGCAAUGUUUGGAUCCCGAACGUUGCAGCGGAAAGUUUAGUGAACCUUAUCACUUAGAGGAAGGAGAAGUCGUAACA